AAAAUAGAAUGUCAUUCGCCUUGUUAGUAUUGAGUAGUACCUAAGCAACUAAGUUUCCAAAGGUGAACAACCCCAGUCCUUUAUAGUUGUUAAGGGCUUCUCAGACUAGUAUGGAAGGAAGCAUU